rnacentral:lncRNA from 1 species
AGGAAAUAAAAGCUGGCCACCCAAACUGGUAGAGGCAACUGCGCUCAGGUCUCCUUCCGGUGUGUGGGUUGUUUGUUCUUUUGCUCUUCGCAGUAAAUUUUGCUGGUGCUCAGUCCUUGGGUCUGCACUACCUUUAUGAGCUGUAAGACUGACUGUGCAGGUCUGCGGCUUCAUUUCUGAAGUCAGCAAGACCAUGAACCCACCAGAAGGAAGAAACAAACUCUGGACACAUCUGAACAUCUGAAGGAAAAAAUUCCGGACACACCAUCUUUAAGAACUGUGACACUCACCGCAAGGGUCUGUGGCUUCAUUCUUGAAGCAAUGAGACGAAGAACCCACCAGAAGGAACCAAUUCCGGACACAUUUUGGCGACCACAAAGGGAAAAUCGACUAUCACCAAGCGGCUUGGGUAUGUCCUUAUCAGCAGCAUGAAAAUGGACUAAUACAAAUAUGCUGAGUUAAGUCCUGGACAAGAAACACUUUGCCAACCUCUGGACUAGACUGAGUAAAGCAAGCAGAAAGAUCCAAUUUUAAAAAGAGGUGAGGAAAAUGGGACAACUUGGCUAUGGAGAGAGCAAGAAGAAUGCAACUGAUGUGCACAAAGUUUGAAGACAAAGUUACUCAGUUUAGAUCAGGGGUCCACAACCCCCAGCCAUGGACCAGUACUGAUUUGUGGCCUGUUAGGAACUCAGUUGCAGUAGGAGGUGAAUGCCAGAGUUCCCGGAGCCUUCACUGUCUUCAUGAUUAGAUCCCUCCAUACUCUCCAUCACUAAUGCCUUGGCUGGAGAUUACCAUUCAGAGACCAUGUACUGAGCAGAUAAAUGCCAAUCAUCACAGCAUUGUCUCAGGCCUAAAUGAAUAAAGGCAUGACACUGAGAUUGAAGGCUAGUUCUACUUCAGAACCACAGAGACAUGAGCACCAGCAAGUUUGAGGUUGGAUAAGGAUCUUCAGAACUCCUCAGCUUCAGAUGGUCAAGCACUGCUUCCUCCCUUCUUCAACGGCAUCUCUAGCAUGUAUACUUCCCUUAAAUCCACCUUCGUAGCAUUUGCUGAUGGAAGAGGCACAACAGAGUCCAUGCCUUCACCUCCUCUGGCCAACUCUAAUCAUGAAUCUCCUGUGAAUCAGCUGGGAAACAUGCAGAAUAUGAGAUUGGGGCCCUCAUUCAUACUAACUGGAAUUUUCCUUGGCAAUGGUAGAACAGAAGCUUCUCCAUUCUUUACAGAUGAAUUUGCUUUAAGUAAGAUCUUCCCAGAGUACAAAAGAAAUUUAUUCGGAAAAUUUCAAACUAAUAUCCUUUGCAAGGUGAGCUACACCUCUGAGAGGAGCUCCUGGAAAUUACCAGAUACUUAAUGUUGCCAGCUGUUACAGAUGGAGGUGAUGCACCUUGAUGAUGCAUAAGUACUGAGCCUGAAUCCUACAAAUGGGAAAAGGUGCUCAUAUCAGACUUAUGCAUUAGAUAUCAAACUACAAAAUACAAGUGCAGUUGAUACCUGUUUAGAUGAUGUAGAGCAAGGUAACAGAGUAUGUAUUAAAAGCAAAAAUUCCCAUGAAGCUGAACCGUUACUCUCUGCCAAAACCUCCCACUCUCAAGUUUUAAGAGCCAAUAAACCUUGUAUCUGUACGUUCAGCUUUGCCUUUUUUUUCCCAGGACUGUAAACCUCUGUCAAGGUUUACCAUGUUUCAUUGAUUUUAUUUUUU